rnacentral:rRNA from 1 species
UAGAGUUUGGAUCAUGGCUCAGGACGAACGCUGGCGGCGUGCCUAAUACAUGCAAGUCGAGCGGACAGAAGGGAGCUUGCUCCCGGAUGUUAGCGGCGGACGGGUGAGUAACACGUGGGUAACCUGCCUGUAAGACUGGGAUAACUCCGGGAAACCGGAGCUAAUACCGGAUAGUUCCUUGAACCGCAUGGUUCAAGGAUGAAAGACGGUUUCGGCUGUCACUUACAGAUGGACCCGCGGCGCAUUAGCUAGUUGGUGGGGUAAUGGCUCACCAAGGCGACGAUGCGUAGCCGACCUGAGAGGGUGAUCGGCCACACUGGGACUGAGACACGGCCCAGACUCCUACGGGAGGCAGCAGUAGGGAAUCUUCCGCAAUGGACGAAAGUCUGACGGAGCAACGCCGCGUGAGUGAUGAAGGUUUUCGGAUCGUAAAAGCUCUGUUGUUAGGGAAGAACCAAGUGCGAGAGUAACUGCUCGCCCCUUGACCGCCUACC